UCACUAAUCAAGCUCGGCUUGCUGUUGGACCUCUUGUCGUUAAAGACAGGCCCCAAAGAUAAUGACGGUGUUAUUAGAACCCUAUAUGCAACGAGCUUUAAUCAGCACGCAUGUUAGUGGCCUUUUAACCCGGUCUUGCUUUACCAAUUUUAA
rnacentral:misc_RNA from 1 species